rnacentral:rRNA from 1 species
AAGAAAGUAACUAAGAGCGUACGGCGGAUGCCUUGGCUCUCAGAGGCGAUGAAGGACGUGAUAAGCUGCGAUAAGCUACGAUUAGGUGCAAAUAACCUUUAAGUCGUAGAUUUCCGAAUGGGGCAACCCAGCUGGUUGAAGACCAGUUAUCCCGCAAGGGAAGCUAACCCGGAGAACUGAAACAUCUAAGUACCCGGAGGAAUAGAAAACAAUAGUGAUUCCCCUAGUAGCGGCGAGCGAACGGGGAUUAGCCCAAACCAUUAAUGUUUCGGCAUUAGUGGGGUUGUAGGACUGCAACGUGGACUUUAAAAUGAUAGUAGAAUCUUCUGGAAAGUUGAACGAUACAGGGUGAUAGUCCCGUAAACGAAAUCAUUUUAAUACCUAGCAGUAUCCUGAGUAGCACGGAGCACGUGAAAUUCUGUGUGAAUCUGCCAGAACCAUCUGGUAAGGCUAAAUACUCCUGAGAGACCGAUAGUGAACUAGUACCGUGAGGGAAAGGUGAAAAGUACCCUGAACAAGGGAGUGAAAUAGAUCCUGAAACCGUACGCUUACAAGCGGAGGGAGCGCAAGUGACCUCGUGCCUUUUGCAUAAUGAUCCUACGAGUUACUCCUCACUAGCAAGGUUAAGGACUUCAGGUCCGCAGCCGAAGCGAAAGCAAGUCUGAAUAGGGCGUUUAGUUAGUGGGGGUAGACGCGAAACUUGGUGAUCUACCCAUGAGCAGGUUGAAGUUGCAGUAACAUGCAAUGGAGGACCGAACCAAUAUACGUUGAAAAGUGUUUGGAUGACUUGUGGGUAGGGGUGAAAGGCCAAUCAAACUGAGAGAUAGCUCGUACUCCCCGAAAUGCAUUUAGGUGCAGCGUUGUAAUUUAUAGUCAUAGAGGUAGAGCUACUGAUUGGGCUAGGGGGCUUCACCGCCUACCAACCCCUAAUAAACUCCGAAUGCUAUGACUUUUAUACAGCAGUGAGGGCAUGGGUGCUAAGGUCCAUGUCCGAGAGGGAAAGAACCCAGACCAUCAGCUAAGGUCCCUAAAUAUAUGCUAAGUUGACCUAACGUGGUCCGAUUGCUUUGACAGCUAGGAUGUUGGCUUGGAAGCAGCCAUUCAUUUAAAGAGUGCGUAACAGCUCACUAGUCGAGCGAUUGGGCGUGGAUAAUAAUCGGGCAUAAGCAUAUUACCGAAGCUAUGGACUUGCAGUUUACUGCAAUUGGUAGGGGAGCAUUCUAGUUGCACUGAAGGUGUAUCGUAAGGUAUGCUGGAGCGGCUAGAAAAGAAAAUGUAGGAAUAAGUAACGAUAAAGCAGGCGAGAAACCUGCUCGCCGAUAGACUAAGGUUUCCUGAUCAACGCUAAUCGGAUCAGGGUUAGUCGGGACCUAACGCGAACCCGAAAGGGGUAGUGGAUGGAUAACUGGUUAAUAUUCCAGUACUAGCAUAUAUUGCGAUGGGGUGACGGAGUAGUGAAAGGACUGCGAACUGACGGAAUAGUUCGUUAAAGAGUGUAGGUAUUGGGACUGUAGGAAAAUCCGCAGACCUAGCUGAACUUGAUAGUACCAAGAGCUUUCGAGCAAUUGGAUAAUGUCCCUAAUCAGACUUCCUAGAAAAACCUCUAAGCUUCAGAUAUAUGCUACUCGUACCAUAAACCGACACAGGUGGUCAAGAUGAGUAUUCUAAGGCGCUCGAGUGAUUCAUGGUUAAGGAACUAGGCAAAAUCGCCUCGUAACUUCGGGAGAAGAGGCGCCCUCAGCAAUGAGGGCCGCAGUGAAAAGGCCCAGGCAACUGUUUAUCAAAAACACAUGGCUUUGCUAAAUCGAAAGAUGACGUAUAAGGCCUGACACCUGCCCGGUGCUGGAAGGUUAAAAGGAGGUGUUAUCUUCGGAGAAGCACUGAAUUGAAGCCCCAGUAAACGGCGGCCGUAACUAUAACGGUCCUAAGGUAGCGAAAUUCCUUGUCGGGUAAGUUCCGACCUGCACGAAUGGUGUAAUGAUCUGGGCACUGUCUCAACCAUGAGCUCGGUGAAAUUGUAGUCUCGGUGAAGAUGCCGGGUACCCGCAACGGGACGAAAAGACCCCGUGAACCUUUACUAUAGCUUCGCAUUGACUUUGGGUAAAUGAUGUGUAGGAUAGGUGGGAGACUUUGAAGCAGCAUCGCCAGGUGUUGUGGAGUCAUCCUUGAAAUACCACCCUUUAUUUGCUUGGAGUCUAACAUAUUCGUAUGAACAGUGCGUGGUGGGUAGUUUGACUGGGGUGGUCGCCUCCAAAAGAGUAACGGAGGCUUCUAAAGGUGUCCUCAGUACGCUUGGUAACCGUACGUAGAGUGCAAUAGCAUAAGGACGCUUGACUGUGAGACAGACAAGUCGAGCAGGGACGAAAGUCGAGUAUAGUGAUCCGGUGGUUCCGUAUGGAAGGGCCAUCGCUCAAAGGAUAAAAGGUACUCCGGGGAUAACAGGCUGAUGAUUCCCAAGAGCUCAUAUCGACGGAAUCGUUUGGCACCUCGAUGUCGGCUCGUCACAUCCUGGGGCUGGAGAAGGUCCCAAGGGUUGGGCUGUUCGCCCAUUAAAGUGGCACGCGAGCUGGGUUCAGAACGUCGUGAGACAGUUCGGUCUCUAUCUGUUGUGGGCGUUGGAAAUUUGAGAGGAUUUGACUCUAGUACGAGAGGACCGAGUUGAACGAACCUCUGGUUUAUCUGUUGUGGCGCCAGCUGCAUUGCAGAGUAGCUACGUUCGGAUUGGAUAAGCACUGAAAGCAUAUAAGUGCGAAGCCAGCCUCAAGAUGAGAUUUCCCUUAAGGGUCGUUAAAGAUGAUGACGUUGAUAGGUUGCAGGUGUAAAGGCAGUAAUGUCAUAGCCGAGCAAUACUAAUUACCCGUGAGCUUUCUAA